AGGUCGGUUGCAAGCUUCAAUACAUUUAUGAAAUUGAUAUUAAAGCUACCAACCGGCUUCA
rnacentral:pre_miRNA from 1 species